UUGCUAUCGAUUCCACUAAUUUUUUUCGUUAAAUCAGUGACAAAGUUAAAGCUAAAGGAUACACCAAAGUGAAUAUUCGAUAAAUCUAGACGGAGUAUCCAAAGUUUUUUGUAUAUAAUUUAAUAAAAUAUUAACGAAAAAAUUAACGAAAAAAUAAAAAUAAAAUCACAGAACACUAACUCAAUACACUUUAACUUACAGAAUACUAAAAUAAGAAAAUACGAAACCACAAAAAUGUUAUCAGAAGUUUACACACCUU
rnacentral:lncRNA from 1 species